rnacentral:rRNA from 1 species
GGUAACAUUUCUAGCUUGCUAGAAGAUGACGAGUGGCGGACGGGUGAGUAAUGCUUGGGAACUUGCCUUUGCGAGGGGGAUAACAGUUGGAAACGACUGCUAAUACCGCAUAAUGUCUUCGGACCAAACGGGGCUUCGGCUCCGGCGCAAAGAGAGGCCCAAGUGAGAUUAGCUAGUUGGUAGGGUAACGGCUUACCAAGGCGACGAUCUCUAGCUGUUCUGAGAGGAAGAUCAGCCACACUGGGACUGAGACACGGCCCAGACUCCUACGGGAGGCAGCAGUGGGGAAUAUUGCACAAUGGGGGAAACCCUGAUGCAGCCAUGCCGCGUGUGUGAAGAAGGCCUUCGGGUUGUAAAGCACUUUCAGUUGUGAGGAAAAGUUAGUAGUUAAUACCUGCUAGCCGUGACGUUAACAACAGAAGAAGCACCGGCUAACUCCGUGCCAGCAGCCGCGGUAAUACGGAGGGUGCGAGCGUUAAUCGGAAUUACUGGGCGUAAAGCGCACGCAGGCGGUUUGUUAAGCUAGAUGUGAAAGCCCCGGGCUCAACCUGGGAUGGUCAUUUAGAACUGGCAGACUAGAGUCUUGGAGAGGGGAGUGGAAUUCCAGGUGUAGCGGUGAAAUGCGUAGAUAUCUGGAGGAACAUCAGUGGCGAAGGCGACUCCCUGGCCAAAGACUGACGCUCAUGUGCGAAAGUGUGGGUAGCGAACAGGAUUAGAUACCCUGGUAGUCCACACCGUAAACGCUGUCUACUAGCUGUGUGUGUCUUUAAGACGUGCGUAGCGAAGCUAACGCGCUAAGUAGACCGCCUGGGGAGUACGGCCGCAAGGUUAAAACUCAAAUGAAUUGACGGGGGCCCGCACAAGCGGUGGAGCAUGUGGUUUAAUUCGAUGCAACGCGAAGAACCUUACCUACACUUGACAUGCAGAGAACUUUC